rnacentral:rRNA from 1 species
UGGCGGACGGGUGAGUAAUACAUCGGAACGUGCCCAGACGUGGGGGAUAACGAGGCGAAAGCUUUGCUAAUACCGCAUACGAUCUAAGGAUGAAAGCAGGGGACCGCAAGGCCUUGCGCGUUUGGAGCGGCCGAUGGCAGAUUAGGUAGUUGGUGGGAUAAAAGCUUACCAAGCCGACGAUCUGUAGCUGGUCUGAGAGGACGACCAGCCACACUGGGACUGAGACACGGCCCAGACUCCUACGGGAGGCAGCAGUGGGGAAUUUUGGACAAUGGGCGAAAGCCUGAUCCAGCAAUGCCGCAUGCAGGAUGAAGGCCUUCGGGUUGUAAACUGCUUUUGUACGGAACGAAAAGACUCUGGUUAAUACCUGGGGUCCAUGACGGUACCGUAAGAAUAAGCACCGGCUAACUACGUGCCAGCAGCCGCGGUAAU